rnacentral:RNase_P_RNA from 2 species
CCAGACGGCCGGACGGCCGCUGCCGGGGGCAACCCCGGUGGAGGAAAGUCCGGGCUCCACGGAAAUACGGUGCCGGCUAACGGCCGGCGGGGGCGACCCCAGGGAAAGUGCCACAGAAAACAAACCUCCCGCGCAAGGGUUCGUCCCCCGCGGGCAAGGGCGAAACGGUGCGGUAAGAGCGCACCGCGCCCCUGGCGACAGGGGCGGCAGGGUAAACCCCACCGGGAGCAAGACCGAAUAGGGGCGGCCGGCGUGGCGCAACCUUGGCAACAAGGCGGCGCUGACGCAGGGGCAUUUCCGCCCCGUCGCCCGGGUUGGUCGCGCGAGGCGCGCAGCAAUGCGCGUCCCAGAGGAAUGGCCGUCCCGCACCCCUUCGGGGGGGCGGACAGAACCCGGCUUACAGGCCGUCUGGCACC